UGGGGAAUUUUGGACAAUGGGCGAAAGCCUGAUCCAGCAAUGCCGCGUGUGUGAAGAAGGCCUUCGGGUUGUAAAGCACUUUUGUCCGGAAAGAAAUCCUUGGCUCUAAUACAGUCGGGGGAUGACGGNCCGGAAGAAUAAGCACCGGCUAACUACGUGCCAGCAGCCGCGGUAAUACGCAGGGUGCAAGCGUUAAUCGGAAUUACUGGGCGUAAAGCGUGCGCAGGCGGUUUGCUAAGACCGAUGUGAAAUCCCCGGGCUCAACCUGGGAACUGCAUUGGUGACUGGCAGGCUAGAGUAUGGCAGAGGGGGGUAGAAUUCCACGUGUAGCAGUGAAAUGCGUAGAGAUGUGGAGGAAUACCGAUGGCGAAGGCAGUCCCCUGGGCCAAUACUGACGCUCAUGCACGAAAGCGUGGGGAGCAAACAGGAUUAGAUACCCUGGUAGUCCACGCCCUAAACGAUGUCAACUAGUUGUUGGGGAUUCAUUUCCUUAGUAACGUAGCUAACGCGUGAAGUUGACCGCCUGGGGAGUACGGUCGCAAGAUUAAAACUCAAAUGAAUUGACGGGGUCAUAGCUGUUUCCU
rnacentral:rRNA from 1 species